AAGACUAUACUUUCAGGGAUCAUUUCUAUACUGUGUUGCUAGAGAAGUGUUUCUGAAUGUGUAGGGUACUGGAAGCCACAAUUCUGAGCUGCAGUAUUUUCUCCUGAGCAUGAGGCUGGCCUGUGGUGUUGCCUAACAGCAGCUGCCACUUCUCCAUGUCUGUUUUCCUUUUUCUUUGGGAAAGUAACAGGGUGAAAAUACAAGCUGAACGGU